GGUAGCCUGGCCUAGCGGUCAUUAACACAGGUUCUGGGAGGGCGCCCGGCCGCGGUGCCGACCGCAAUAAGAAAUACAGGUCGUGGGUUGCCACGCCGGGGGUCACCGGUUCGAGUCCGGUGGCGGGCAAUAGACCG